GACGAACGCUGGCGGCGUGCCUAAUACAUGCAAGUGGGACGCAAGGAAACACACUGUGCUUGCACACCGUGUUUUCUUGAGUCGCGAACGGGUGAGUAACGCGUAGGUAACCUGCCUAUUAGCGGGGGAUAACUAUUGGAAACGAUAGCUAAUACCGCAUAAUAUUAAUUAUUGCAUGAUAAUUGAUUGAAAGAUGCAAGCGCAUCACUAGUAGAUGGACCUGCGUUGUAUUAGCUAGUUGGUAAGGUAAGAGCUUACCAAGGCGACGAUACAUAGCCGACCUGAGAGGGUGAUCGGCCACACUGGGACUGAGACACGGCCCAGACUCCUACGGGAGGCAGCAGUAGGGAAUCUUCGGCAAUGGACGAAAGUCUGACCGAGCAACGCCGCGUGAGUGAAGAAGGUUUUCGGAUCGUAAAGCUCUGUUGUAAGUCAAGAACGUGGGUGAGAGUGGAAAGUUCACAAAGUGACGGUAGCUUACCAGAAAGGGACGGCUAACUACGUG
rnacentral:rRNA from 1 species